GACGAACGCUGGCGGCGUGCUUAACACAUGCAAGUCGAACGAUGAAGAAGAGAAACGCGAACUUCGGUUCAAAUUUCACUUCGGAUUAGUGGCAGACGGGUGAGUAACGCGUGCGCAACCUACCUCUUACAAAGGGAUAGCCUCGGGAAACCGUGAUUAAUACCAUAUGACACAUUCAUAAGGCAUCUUAAGAAUGUUAAAGCUACGGCGGUAAGAGAUGGGCUCGCGUCCCAUUAGCUAGUUGGUGAGGUAACGGCCCACCAAGGCGACGAUGGGUAACCGGCCUGAGAGGGUGAACGGUUACAUUGGAACUGAGACACGGUCCAAACUCCUACGGGAAGCAGCAGUGGGGAAUAUUGCACAAUGGAGGGAACUCUGAUGCAGCGACGCCGCGUGAGCGAUGAAGUAAUUCGUUUCGUAAAGCUCUGUUCUAUGGGAAGAAAAGGACUGUACCAUAUGAGAAAGCCCCGGCUAACUACGUG
rnacentral:rRNA from 1 species